rnacentral:rRNA from 1 species
GUGGGGAAUCUUAGACAAUGGGCGCAAGCCUGAUCCAGCCAUGCCGCGUGCAGGAAGACGCAUCUAUGGUGUGUAAACUGCUUUUGUACGGGAAGAAACACUCCCUCGUGAGGGAGCUUGACGGUACCGUAAGAAUAAGGAUCGGCUAACUCCGUGCCAGCAGCCGCGGUAAUACGGAGGAUCCAAGCGUUAUCCGGAAUCAUUGGGUUUAAAGGGUCCGUAGGCGGUUUAAUAAGUCAGUGGUGAAAGCCCAUCGCUCAACGAUGGAACGGCCAUUGAUACUGUUAGACUUGAAUUACAAGGAAGUAACUAGAAUAUGUAGUGUAGCGGUGAAAUGCUUAGAUAUUACAUGGAAUACCAAUUGCGAAGGCAGGUUACUACUUGUGGAUUGACGCUGAUGGACGAAAGCGUGGGGAGCGAACAGGAUUAGAUACCCCGGUAGUCC